rnacentral:misc_RNA from 1 species
GAUGAAGAACGUAGCGAAAUGCGAUAAGUAAUGUGAAUUGCAGAGUUCAGUGAAUCAUCGAAUCUUUGAACGCACAUUGCGCCCGCCAGUAUUCUGGCGGGCAUGCCUGUUCGAGCGUCAUUUCAACCAUCAAGCCCCCGGCUUGUGUUGGGGACCUGCGGCUGCCGCAGGCCCUGAAAAGCAGUGGCGGGCUCGCUGUCACACCGAGCGUAGUAGCAUACAUCUCGCUCUGGGCGUGCUGCGGGUUCCGGCCGUUAAACCACCUUCAUAACCCAAGGUUGACCUCGGAUCAGGUAGGAAGACCCGCUGAACUUAAGCAUAUCAAUAAGCGGAGGA